CCCUUAGAUGUUCUGGGCUGCACGCGCGCUACACUGAUGCGAUCACCAAGUUUUUCCUAUGUCGAUAGACACGGGUAAUCUUUUGAACUCGCAUCGUGAUGGGGAUAGAUUAUUGUAAUUAUUAAUCUUCAACGAGGAAUUCCUAGUAGGUGCAAAUCAUCAGUUUGCAUCGAUUACGUCCCUGCCCUUUGUACACACCGCCCGUCGCUGCUACCGAUUGGUUGAUCUGGUGAAUUAUUCGGACUGCCGGCUGAAGGGGUUUCCUCAUCUGCCAGCGGAAAGUCUUGUUAACCCUAUCAACUAGAGGAAGCAGAAGUCGUAACA
rnacentral:rRNA from 1 species